GCUGCUUUCGUCUAGUGGUUAGGAUAACUCCUUUACACGGAGUAGAUCGCAGGUUCGAUCCCUGCAAGUAGCA